rnacentral:rRNA from 1 species
AGCAGCCGCGGUAAUUCCAGCUCCAAUAGCGUAUAUUAAAGUUGUUGCAGUUAAAAAGCUCGUAGUUGAAUUUCGGGAUCAAUACGUCGGUCGUGCUUCGGUACGUACUGGUGUCAUUGAUUUCUCCCUUCUGACGAACCAUGAUGUCAUUAACUUGGUGUCAUGGGAAAUCAGGACUGUUACUUUGAAAAAUUAGAGUGUUUAAAGCAAGCUCACGCUUGAAUACAUUAGCAUGGAAUAAUGAAAUAGGACAUUGUAUUCUAUUUUGUUGGUUUCUAGGAUCGACGUAAUGAUUAAUAGGGAUAGUUGGGGGCAUUAGUAUUCGAUUGUCAGAGGUGAAAUUCUUGGAUUUAUUGAAGACUAACUACUGCGAAAGCAUUUGCCAAGGAUGUUUUCAUUAAUCAAGAACGAAAGUUAGGGGAUCGAAGACGAUCAGAUACCGUCGUAGUCUUAACCAUAAACUAUGCCGACUAGGGAUCGGAUGAUGUUAAUUUUAUAAUGA